UACAGAGGGUGCAAACGUUGUUCGGAAUUACUGGGCGUAAAGCGCGUGUAGGCGGUCUUACAAGUCGGCUGUGAAACCCCUGGGCUCAACCUGGGAAGUGCACUCGAUACUGUCGGACUGGAGUCCCGGAGAGGAUGGUGGAACUCUCGGUGUAGAGGUGAAAUUCGUAGAUAUCGGGAAGAACAUCGGUGGCGAAGGCGGCCAUCUGGACGGUGACUGACGCUGAGACGCGAAAGCGUGGGGAGCAAACAGG
rnacentral:rRNA from 1 species